UAUUCCAGGCUGCAGCACUGAUGUCUGGACUUCAUGGGAACGUUUAAACACCACAAUUAUUUAUUUUCAGAGAAAUGAAUGAAGAUAUUCCUUUUCCAAGAUGACUAAAGGACUUCCCAAAAAUCUGAGAUGAGAAUGUUUCAAUUUCCUGACGCCAGCAAUAAAUCCAGGUCUAAAUGAGGCAUGACAGUCCAUCUGGGGUCCGAUCAUUGCAG